CUCCGUUAGCUGUGUUUCAUUUAGUCUGUGUUCCUGGAAUCACCUGGGUGUUCUUGUGGUAGUAAUGCAUGUAUUGUAUGUGACUGUUGUUCCUGGAAUCACAAAGGUGUUCUUGUGGUAGUAAUGUGUUCCUGGAAAUCACAAAUGUGUUCUUGUGGUAGUAUGUGUUCCUGGAAUCACAAAGGUGUUCUUGUGGUAGUAUGUGUUCCUGUAAUUACAAAGGUGUUCUUGUGGUAGUAUGUGUUCCUGGAAUCAC
rnacentral:lncRNA from 1 species